UGCAGUCGAACGAUGAAGCCCUUCGGGGUGGAUUAGUGGCGAACGGGUGAGUAACACGUGGGCAAUCUGCCCUGCACUCUGGGACAAGCCCUGGAAACGGGGUCUAAUACCGGAUAUGACCGUCUUGGGCAUCCUUGACGGUGUAAAGCUCCGGCGGUGCAGGAUGAGCCCGCGGCCUAUCAGCUUGUUGGUGAGGUAGUGGCUCACCAAGGCGACGACGGGUAGCCGGCCUGAGAGGGCGACCGGCCACACUGGGACUGAGACACGGCCCAGACUCCUACGGGAGGCAGCAGUGGGGAAUAUUGCACAAUGGGCGAAAGCCUGAUGCAGCGACGCCGCGUGAGGGAUGACGGCCUUCGGGUUGUAAACCUCUUUCAGCAGGGAAGAAGCGAGAGUGACGGUACCUGCAGAAGAAGCGCCGGCUAACUACGUGCCAGCAGCCGCGGUAAUACGUAGGGCGCAAGCGUUGUCCGGAAUUAUUGGGCGUAAAGAGCUCGUAGGCGGCUUGUCGCGUCGGUUGUGAAAGCCCGGGGCUUAACCCCGGGUCUGCAGUCGAUACGGGCAGGCUAGAGUUCGGUAGGGGAGAUCGGAAUUCCUGGUGUAGCGGUGAAAUGCGCAGAUAUCAGGAGGAACACCGGUGGCGAAGGCGGAUCUCUGGGCCGAUACUGACGCUGAGGAGCGAAAGCGUGGGGAGCGAACAGGAUUAGA
rnacentral:rRNA from 1 species